CCCCAGAAGCCCCGCCCCCAGAAGCCCCGCCCCCGAGUCCCGCGAUCCUGGCGGGACUCGCUGGUUCGCGCCGGGGUAGUUGUAGAGCCGUGGAGGCGGGGAGGCGGGCGGCCUCUUUCCCCGUGUCCUCAUCGUCCUGCAGAAGCCUCAGAAUUUACCUGAUUAUUUGGCUCAAAUUUAUCAAAAUUGGGAGGCUGCGCUUUCUGGGGGGCUGGGGAAGAGCGGAGUUUGGGAGGCCUGGGGGGCGCGUUCUGGCUCCGCCCCUCCGCGCUCCGGACCCUGGCGGGCUUUUUCUUUUUUUUUAAUCUUUUAAAAAUCUUAAAAUCUUUUUAAAAUUUCAUUUAUUUAUUCAUGAGAGACACAGAGAGAGAGAGAGAGGCAGAGACACAGGCAGAGGGAGAAGCAGGCGCCACGCAGGGAGCCCGAUGCGGGAUUCGAUCCCGAGACCCCAGGGUCACGCCCUGGGCCGCAGGUGGCGCCAAACCGCUGAGCCCCCCGGGCAUCCCCAGCCUGGCGGGCUUUUUCAUCUCCAAUUUCGCGUCGGGGAGGGAGGUGAGCGGAGAGGCUGGGCGUCCAGCCCCGCAGCGCGUCCUCGUGAUGGUGACCUACCGGUCCUCUUCGAGAUCAGAAUCCAGUACCGCUCGUAACCGGGGUCUGUGUUUAUUAGCGUGUCCUGUUCUUAACCAAACUGGCCACUUCAGCCGGAGGUACUCCAGCUUUUGA
rnacentral:lncRNA from 12 species